AACGAACGCUGGCGGCAGGCCUAACACAUGCAAGUCGAACGCCGUAGCAAUACGGAGUGGCAGACGGGUGAGUAACACGUGGGAACGUACCCUUUGGUUCGGAAUAACUCAGGGAAACUUGAGCUAAUACCGGAUAAGCGCGAAAGCGGAAAGAUUUAUCGCCGAAGGAUCGGCCCGCGUCCGAUUAGCUAGUUGGUGAGGUAAUGGCUCACCAAGGCGACGAUCGGUAGCUGGUCUGAGAGGAUGAUCAGCCACACUGGGACUGAGACACGGCCCAGACUCCUACGGGAGGCAGCAGUGGGGAAUAUUGCACAAUGGGCGCAAGCCUGAUGCAGCGACGCCGCGUGGGGGAUGACGGCCUCGGUU
rnacentral:rRNA from 1 species